GGUAUGGCUGACGUUACAUUGGGCUCUAAGCUGUAGAGCCAGGAUGUGAAUCAAGUCUAGUUCAUGCUCGAGCCUAUGCUUUAAACCACCUCAGUGUAUACUACCCUCUGGAAGAGUCACCCACCAACUGCCAUUUAUUGAACUACAUGGCAAUUGUUCCUGGUGAAGAAGUUUCACCAUUUGAAUGUCCAGACCAUGGCUGCUUUUGCUUUUGCUUUCUUUAAAUUGAAGGAUAGCUGGUUUACAGUGUUGUGGUUGUUUUAGAUGUAUUGCAAAGUGAUUCAGUUAUGCACACACACACACAUACACACACCCAUUUCGGAUUCUUUUUUUUCUCAGUUUCUUUUCCUAUAUUAUAGGUGAUUACAAGACAUUGAGUACAGGUCCCUGUGCUAUACAGGAAGUCCUCGUUGUUUACCUAUUUUACAUAUAUAAUCGUGUGUAUCUGUUAAUACCAAGCUCCUGAUUUAUUCCUCUUCCUCCUUUCCCCUUUGGUAACCGCACGUUUGUUUUUAUGUAUAUGAGUCUGUUUCUGUUUCGUAAAUGUUUUUGUGUGUUGCCACCACCUGCAACCCAGUUCCUUGUGCAAUACAUGUGUUAUUAGUUCAUUAGAAGGAGUAAGAAGAAGAGAUUUUCCUCUAAGUCACAGUUGGGUAACUCUUCUUUAGAGCGGCUGAGCAUUUCUGGGGUUUAGGAGCAGUGUAGAGGCCGAAGAUGCACUUUACUCUGUGGGAUCUCACAUCAGGAGUCAGUGAGUUAGAAGCGACUCCUUAUUUGGGGAAAAUGUUUAUAAACCAGAAAGAGCAAUGGGAGUGAAAGCUGAAACAGACCUAGAGAUGGAAUGCUUCUCUGAAAGACUCGCUAUUUGCAUGGGAGGCGGGUUUUGGAAGGGAAUGUUGUCUCCAGGGCUCUGGGAGACAGAAUCACUGUAGGGGAGCCCAUGGUAGCCCAGGGGAAGGCAAGCAAAAGAAAGGAGCAGAGUUCGGUGAAACUCAUGAUAAAAGUCUUCCUGGAAGAGGCAACUGAAGGUGGAAAUGGAAAGAAACAAUAUAUAAAAAUAAAAGAAAGGGGUGUUCCCCUUGUGGCACAGUGGAAACGAAUCUGACUAGUAACCAUGAGGAUGAAGGUUCAAUCCCUGGCCUCUCUCAAUGGGUGAAGGAUCUGGUGUUGCUGUGAGCUGUGGUGUAGGUCACAGACACGGCUUGGAUCCAGCGUUGCUGUGGCUGUGGUGUAGGCAGACAGCUGUAGCUCUGAUUCGACCCCUAGCCUGGGAACUUCCAUAUGCCAAGGAUGCGGCUCCCCCCCACCAAAAAAAAUGAAAGAAAGAAGUGGGAAAUAAAGUCAAGGAGAAUGGAGUUCCCGCUCUGUUGCAGCAGGUUAAGUGUCUGGCAUUGUCACUACGGUGGCUUGGUUGCUACUGUGUUGCAGUUUCCAUCCCUGGCCCUGGGAACUUCCACAUGCUAUAGGCAUGGCCAAAAAAUAAAACACAAGAGGAAUGGCCCAUGCAAAGCCUUAGAGCUAUGUGUUUGAAAUUAGUUUGGCACAUUCGACUAUAUUGUAGAAUAAGAAGAGAUUAAACUGCAAUCACUUAUCGAGCACCUACUGUAUAUCAGGCAUCGUGCUAGGUAUUGAGAAUGCAAAGGAGGACCCAGUAGGGUCCCCAGUAGCCUCUGGGGACCUCUCCAUCCAGCAGGAGGGCGGGGGCGCACACAAAUCCUCAUGGUCCAAGGAUGCUGCAGUCGAGGACCAUAGCGGCGUCAUGGCGGCGCUGAUGGUAAAAUGACCUGGUAUCGAGAAGCUGGGCAGGCUUCUCGGAUGAAGCCCUUUGAGCUGGACCCUGGAGGGUGGAGGAGGCUUUUGCUGGGAGGAGCAGCAAGGGAGGGAAGGAGAAGCACUUGCAUGAAAGCGCCUGGUCUGGAAGGUGGGACCAUGGCUGGUGGGGUGCAAGGGUGGUAGCAGCAGAGGGGGCAGAAAAGGGGGUGGGGAGCAGCUUAGUCAAGGCUUUGGUGGCCAGCCUGAGAGUUUUGCCCUCCGUCCUGUGAGCCGUAAAUCUAUAGCAACAAGUUAGCCACGAGAGUUUCAGUUGCCCUCUGAAUGCCGGUCUAUCUAAGGGGGUAGGAAAUGUUUCUUACACCCACUCAAAGGUGCUGCUUUAACUGAGAUUUGCCGUAGUCACCAUCACCUGAGUUGGGGACCUAGAAACUAGUAACAUACCUACACACACACACACACACACACACACACACAUUCUUGGUCACUUCGGUGUCUACUGUAUUUGGUCUCAAACAUGUCCUGGGCUGGAAACUAACACUGGGACUGGGUUUCUUAGGGUUUAGCACAGGAUCUAGUCACCUCGAGGCCUCUUCCCCACCAUCUCCUUUUUUCCUUUUAGGAGCAGUACACCUACUUGGGGUCCGCUCCCUAGGUACAAUCUGAAGGCAACCCAGAAGUUCUGGAAAUCCUGCCGCUGGAAACCAUAGCUGCUCAUCCCCCAACACCACAGAUAUCCGCCAGCUUCCCACUGCCCAUCCUUCCUACGCUGGUCCCUCAGAAGGGCUGUCCCAGAACAAACCGAGACUCAUACUUAGCCCUGACAGCAACGUGGAGGCCAUGGCUGGCUAUGGCCAGCCGCUUUCAGCAUGAAUGACGGGGCCUCAAGAGAGAGGAAUAAUAUCAGGGAACCGAAGGUUAGCUCCCAGGCCCCAAAGCGCCAAAAGAAUUCUCUGCUGCUGAAGAUAACCAUCCGAAAGUGAGCUGUACCCUCUCUGAGGUCCCCCAAAGCUGGCAAAGAGCCCCUAGGAAACUCCAAUUUAGUUUUAGCCCUCUGAUGCUUGACCCUGGCUUACAACCCUUGACCUAAUCUGGUUUUCAGAAUGCCCUUUCCAGAAUGGCCUUAGUCUCCCAAUGAUUUCUUGGUUCAGUCCCAGGGGUCCCAAAGCCAAUUACUAAGAACUUGGUCAGGGAGGUAGGACAGACCCCAGUUACCUCCAAGUCUCAAGAACCCCUUCCCUUGCAUGGACUUUUUAUUUUUGUUGUUGCUUUUUAGGGCCACACCCAGGGCAUAUGGAAGUUCCCAGGCUAGGGAUCGAAUCAGAGCUAUAAUUACCAACCUAGGCCACAGCCACAGCAAGCCCAGAUCCGAGACGUGGCUGUGACCUACACCCCAGCUCAUGGCAACACUGGAUCCUUAACCCACGGAGCAAGGCCAAGGAUCGAACCCACAUCCUCAUGGAUACUAGUUGGGAUCGUAACCUGCUGAGCCACAAUGGGAACUCUGCAUUGGCUCUUAUAUGCAGUCAGCCAGUCCCCUAGAUCCAUGGGACUAAUUCAGCUUUUGCUUCUGAAUCUACAGAGAGGGUGGUUAUGGGUAGGUGCAGCCUCGGCUAAUGCCCAGGUCAGAGCAAAUCUGACCCGUUGCAUCCCAUAAGUCAGAGGGGCUUCUUCUCCCAUCCCUGUUAAAGCCAGUCUCUGUACCUGCUUGUUUCCAGAGCCCAGGAAGUGAGCUGCUGUGGACAUUCUUGCUCCCCAAGCAUGAGUGUUCUCAGAACUCCUGAAACAUUCUCCUACAGGCUCUCAGAUCUCCUGGUUCCCAGAAGCAGUUUUCCAAGGAGCCCUUGAGGGCUGGCUAGCAGGGCAGGGGCCUUGCAGCCAGGACACCCAGCACUCGUUUUGUGGCCCUGACCAACAGAAAAGGUGCCAUGGUCAUGGCCAGAGAUGGGAGAGGAUUCCCCACGCCCAAUGGAGUUAUUCCUUCCCUGCCCAGGAGAAAGGCACCAGCAACCAUUCUUACCCUGAGAAGGGAUGUGCUACCUGCCCACAGACUGAUGCUGUAGAGCAAAUGUCUUCUCGCCCACCCUGCUUUGUGUGCCCCCUGGGCGAUGGGGGGCCCUGGCCACUAGGGUGCUGUCAGAGCUAAUUAUGAGUCUCAGUGUGUUCCAAGAACAAAUAGUUAACCAAGGUGGAGAACCCAAGACUAUUCAUUCUUGGCUAUCUCACAGCCAGAUGCUGCUACACUUGAAUGGCCCGAGGUCUCAAGAAUGUCAUUAUUCCAGGGAGCAGGUCCAGCGAUGGGGGCCUUUGGGACUCCCAGGGAGAGUUGAGAGGCUACUCUGGGGCCUUGCAUCCUGUCCCCAUAAUCAGCCCAAGAGGCAGGAUUUAGGAGACUGAGCCAUUCCUAUCUAACGGGCCUACAGGAGGGCUGAGAUCCAGCUGAGGGCAGCUACCCUACUGUGGGGAACCUGGAAGCUAGAAUAUAUAAAACGCUCCCCCAGUUGUAGCUGGUGGUAGCCUCAGUGGUGAAGGCCUUUGCCAAAGGGGACAAGUGGUACCAUCUUCCACAUGGCAUCCAAGCUGCCUCUGCAACCUACACCACUGCUCACGGCAACCCUGGAUCCUUAACCCACUGAGCAAGAUCGAGGAUCGAACACCCAUCCUCAUGGAUACUAGUUGAGUUUGUUACUGCCGAAGCAUGAUGGGAACUCCCAUGAUAAGUCUUGACUGUAGCAAGUGUCCAGAAAUGGUGCUUGAAAUUAUUGCUCUCACAGGUCUCAUCACCCUACUCACUAGGAUAUAGUAGAGAAAGAAACAGCCAUGGGCCAACUAGUAAACAGGCCAAAAUGCCUGGUACAGGUGCAUCAGGCCAUGCUUGAGAACAUUGAUUUUCAGAUACUGCUUCUAACAGAGCCCUUGUUUUCUCCGAUGUUCCAUGAGACCCGAGUGCCUUCAGAACUCUGGUAGGAUGUAUAUAGACCAUUCUUUUAUAUGCUUUACUCCCACCCUGCCAUUAUUGAAUUUUGUCACUUGUUGCCUAAGAGCUUUCCCCAAAAGCCGGGCCAUUGUUCUCUCUCCUAGUGCAUGUGACCGAGGUGUGAAUGGGUUCCUCUAGGACCGAUAAGAUCCGGGAUCCGUGGUAUAAGUACUGUUUUCCAAGUGAGCGGAUUAGGACAGGACAGGUGGGCGGCACAAGCCAAGGACGUGAUAUGUAUUAGCCUAGUGACAUUACCUAGCCUAGUCAGACUGGUCCUCAGGAAACUGCAUCAGAACUAACUAGGAAGCCUUAACAAUGCAGAUUCCGUGAGCCAUCCUCAGAGACUCUGGAGUAGAACACAGGUUUGAAUAAACACGAGAUGAGUCUGAUGCAUAGGCAGGCUGAAGGAGCCAGGCCAGCCUGAGCAGCAAUAAUUCUGACAUUUCAGUGAACAUUGGAUUCACUUGGUGGGGUGGCACUUGUUAUAAGUGCAGGAGUUCCCGUAAAAAAGGGCCUGAUUGUUAGAAUCAGAUUGGCCUAUGUUUCUUUGCUCCCUGAUUUGUAAAAUCGAGGAAGUGACAUCAAAUCUGAAGGAUCGUUUUAUCUAAAGCUCUCAAAAGGCACUCGGAUGUGGCUUCCCUUUCUUGUGAUUCACAUACCUCUCUUUAUGCUCCAUAAAAGCUGUGAAGAUGAACUGUAGGUGGUGGCUGGGUUCCUUUGAGGGCCAAGGUUGGAUGUUGCCAGAAAGAAGGGAAAAUUGCAAUCCAUGGGCUUCUGAAGUGAAAUUUAUAAGAUUUAUAUAUUUAUGAAUAUACAUUGAUUAAAUACCCCAAAAGCAUGUAUUUAAAAAAAAAAAAA
rnacentral:lncRNA from 1 species